rnacentral:rRNA from 1 species
UACGUAGGGUGCGAGGCGUUGUCCGGAAUUAUUGGGCGUAAAGGGCUCGUAGGCGGUUUGUCGCGUCGGGAGUGAAAACUCAGGGCUUAACCCUGAGCCUGCUUCCGAUACGGGCAGACUAGAGGUAUGCAGGGGAGAAUGGAAUUCCUGGUGUAGCGGUGAAAUGCGCAGAUAUCAGGAGGAACACCGGUGGCGAAGGCGGUUCUCUGGGCAUUACCUGACGCUGAGGAGCGAAAGUGUGGGGAGCGAACAGG